rnacentral:rRNA from 1 species
AUUGAACGCUGGCGGCAGGCCUAACACAUGCAAGUCGAACGAGUGGCGGACGGGUGAGUAAUGUCUGGGAAACUGCCUGAUGGAGGGGGAUAACUACUGGAAACGGUAGCUAAUACCGCAUACCAUCGGAUGUUCCCAGAUGGGAUUAGCUAGUAGGUGGGGUAAAGGCUCACCUAGGCGACGCUCCCUAGCUGGUCUGAGAGGAUGACCAGCCACACUGGAACUGAGAAACGGUCUAGACUCCUACGGGAGUCAGCAGUGGGGAAUAUUGCACAAGGGGCGCAAGACUGAUGCAGCCAUGCGGCGUGUAUGAAGAAGGUCUUCGGGUUGUAAAAUACUUACAGCGGGGAGGCGUUACCAGCAGAAGAAGCACAGGCUAACUCCGUGCCAGCAGCAGCGGUAAUUC